rnacentral:rRNA from 1 species
ACGGAGGGAGCUAGCGUUGUUCGGAAUUACUGGGCGUAAAGAGUACGUAGGCGGUGAUUCAAGUCAGAGGUGAAAGCCUGGAGCUCAACUCCAGAACUGCCUUUGAAACUAGAUCGCUAGAAUUGUGGAGAGGUUAGUGGAAUUCCGAGUGUAGAGGUGAAAUUCGUAGAUAUUCGGAAGAACACCAGUGGCGAAGGCGACUAACUGGACACAUAUUGACGCUGAGGUACGAAAGCGUGGGGAGCAAACAGG